UACGUAGGGCGCAAGCGUUAUCCGGAAUUAUUGGGCGUAAAGAGCUCGUAGGCGGUUUGUCGCGUCUGCCGUGAAAAGUCCGGGGGCUUAACCCCUCGGCGUGCGGGCGAUACGGGGCAGACUUGAGUACUGCAGGGGGAGACUGGAAUUCCUGGUGUAGCGGUGGAAUGCGCAGAUAUCAGGAGGAACACCGGUGGCGAAGGCGGGUCUCUGGGCAGUAACUGACGCUGAGGAGCGAAAGCGUGGGGGAGCGAACAGG
rnacentral:rRNA from 1 species